UGCGUAGGCGGAUAAAUAAGUCAGUGGUGAAAUCUUUCGGCUCAACCGGGAAACUGCCAUUGAUACUGUUAAUCUUGAGUUCGGUUGAGGUAGGCGGAAUGUGUAAUGUAGCGGUGAAAUGCUUAGAUAUUACACAGAACACCAAUUGCGUAGGCAGCUUACUAGACCGACACUGACGCUGAGGCACGAAAGCGUGGGUAGCGAACAGGAUUAGAUACCCUGGUAGUCC
rnacentral:rRNA from 1 species